rnacentral:rRNA from 1 species
UACAGGGGGUGCAAACGUUGCUCGGAAUUAUUGGGCGUAAAGCGCGCGUAGGCGGCUACUUAAGUCGGGUGUGAAAGCCCCGGGCUCAACCUGGGAAUUGCAUUCGAGACUGCGUAGCUAGGGUGCGGAAGAGGGAAGCGGAAUUUCCGGUGUAGCGGUGAAAUGCGUAGAUAUCGGAAGGAACACCAGUGGCGAAAGCGGCUUCCUGGUCCAGCACCGACGUUCAGGCACGAAAGCGUGGGGAGCAAACAGG